rnacentral:rRNA from 1 species
GGCGGUGGCGAGCUACACAUGCAGUCGAGCGGAUGAAGGGAGCUUGCUCCCUGAUUCAGCGGCGGACGGGUGAGUAAUGCCUAGGAAUCUGCCUGGUAGUGGGGGACAACGUCUCGAAAGGGACGCUAAUACCGCAUACGUCCUACGGGAGAAAGUGGGGGAUCUUCGGACCUCACGCUAUCAGAUGAGCCUAGGUCGGAUUAGCUAGUUGGUGAGGUAAUGGCUCACCAAGGCGACGAUCCGUAACUGGUCUGAGAGGAUGAUCAGUCACACUGGAACUGAGACACGGUCCAGACUCCUACGGGAGGCAGCAGUGGGGAAUAUUGGACAAUGGGCGAAAGCCUGAUCCAGCCAUGCCGCGUGUGUGAAGAAGGUCUUCGGAUUGUAAAGCACUUUAAGUUGGGAGGAAGGGCAGUAAAUUAAUACUUUGCUGUUUUGACGUUACCGACAGAAUAAGCACCGGCUAACUCUGUGCCAGCAGCCGCGGUAAUACAGAGGGUGCAAGCGUUAAUCGGAAUUACUGGGCGUAAAGCGCGCGUAGGUGGUUUGUUAAGUUGGAUGUGAAAUCCCCGGGCUCAACCUGGGAACUGCAUCCAAAACUGGCAAGCUAGAGUAGGGCAGAGGGUGGUGGAAUUUCCUGUGUAGCGGUGAAAUGCGUAGAUAUAGGAAGGAACACCAGUGGCGAAGGCGACCACCUGGGCUCAUACUGACACUGAGGUGCGAAAGCGUGGGGAGCAAACAGGAUUAGAUACCCUGGUAGUCCACGCCGUAACGAUGUCAACUAGCCGUUGGAAGCCUUGAGCUUUUAGUGGCGCAGCUAACGCAUUAAGUUGACCGCCUGGGGGAGUACGGCCGCAAGGUUAAAACUCAAAAUGAUGACGGGGCCCGCACAAGGCGGGUGGGAGCAUGUGGAUUAUCGAGGCACGCGAGAUCUACCAGUCUUGAACAUCCAGUGUGGAACCCUUAUCAUAC